rnacentral:rRNA from 1 species
AGUUGCGCCCGAAGCCAUUCGGCCGAGGGCACGUCUGCCUGGGCGUCACGC